rnacentral:rRNA from 1 species
ACUCAAAGGAAUAGACGGGGGCCCGCACAAGCAGUGGAGUAUGUGGUUUAAUUCGAAGCAACGCGAAGAACCUUACCAGGGCUUGACAUCCAUAGAAUCCUGUAGAGAUACGGGAGUGCCUUUUGGAACUAUGAGACAGGUGGUGCAUGGUUGUCGUCAGCUCGUGUCGUGAGAUGUUGGGUUAAGUCCCGCAACGAGCGCAACCCUUACCGUUAGUUGCUACCAUUAAGUUGAGCACUCUAACGGGACUGCCGGCGACAAGUCGGAGGAAGGUGGGGACGAUGUCAAAUCAUCAUGCCCCUUAUGUCCUGGGCUACACACGUACUACAAUGGCAGUUAGACAACGGGACGCGAAGCCGCGAGGCGGAGCCAAUCCCCAAAAGCUGUCCCAGUUCGGAUUGCAGGCUGAAACUCGCCUGCAUGAAGUCGGAAUUGCUAGUAAUCGCGGAUCAGCAUGCCGCGGUGAAUACGUUCCCGGGCCUUGCACACACCGCCCGU